AUUGAACGCUAGCGGGAGGCUUUACACAUGCAAGUCGAACGAGUGGCGGACGGGUGAGUAAUAUCUCGGAACGUGCCCGAUAGCGGGGGAUAACUACUCGAAAGAGUGGCUAAUACCGCAUACUAUUGGCGCUGCCGAUAUGGGAUUAGCUAGUUGGUGGGGUAAAGGCUCACCAAGGCAACGAUCCGUAGCUGGUUUGAGAGGACGACCAGCCACACGGGGACUGAGACACGGCCCAGACUCCUACGGGAGGCAGCAGUGGGGAAUGUUGGACAAUGGGGGAAACCCUGAUCCAGCCAUCCCGCGUGUAUGAGAAGGCCUUCGGGUUGUAAAGUACUUUUGGCAGAGAAGCGGUAUCUGCAGAAUAAGCACCGGCUAACUCCGUGCCAGCAGCCGCGGUAAUAC
rnacentral:rRNA from 1 species